UUGAUUUUGCUAUGGAAAUAACGUGCAAAUGCUUCAUAUAAAUUGAAAAUGGAUAAAAUGUGCAACUGUGAAACUUAUGAAUAUAAAUUUGCAGUAACCUGCAGUAAAUGCGGUACUUCUUAUGAAUUCAUAAUAAAAAAAAGAAUGCCGAUAAUAAUUUAUGAGUACAUUCUGGAACUCAAUUUCUAACUCGUAGUCGAGGUCCAAUGAAAUUUUUUCGAAUAUUAGAAGUUUUUAGUCGAGGAAUUCUUCUGAAAUAUUACCAAAAUUUGACAAUGGAAAUUGCAAGGAUUGAGGUAGAUAGGCGGAAAUUUAUUACAAAUAUGAUGAUCAUGGAAAAAAUGGGUUAUACAGAGAGACUUUUUGCACCAUGCGCAAGUAAUUACAACUAUUUCACCACAAAUAUCGCAUGUUGCUUUCGAAUGUUUUUUAAAACAAAAAUCGACUGGUGUAUCAAAUUCUCCUGGCCUAUGUUCCAAAUAUCCACUUUUGUACCAAGCGUGUUUAAACAAAUUAGUAAAUUUUGGCAAUGAAAACUGAUUGUGCGUUAAUGACUGUAAUUUUAAAAUAGCGUUUUUAGAAUGAAGUUUUACAUUAAGAUCUAUCAGGUGUAGAAGUAUGAAACCGGAAUUUCCCUAUAUAUGGCACUAACUAUCAGUUUAAGGACCAC